AGGCUCUCGCAACGAUGAAGAACGCAGCGAAAUGCGAUAAGUAAUGUGAAUUGCAGAAUUCCGUGAAUCAUUAAAUCUUUGAACGCACAUUGCGCUCUUUGGUAUUCCGAAGAGCAUGUCUGUUUGAGAAUCAGUUUAACUUUAUCUGCCCUUGAUUAAUUUUUAGGGUGGGAAUGCUGGGACUCUCGAAGAAUUCUUAUUUUUUGAAGACCUGAAUAAAAUCCAUCUUUUUUGCUUGGUCCACUAUAGAGGUUUUUUUAAGCCUACUUGGGAAAGCAACAUGACCAAACUCUGACCGCAAGGUUGAGCUGAUUGUUGCCUCUUUAGUAAACGCUCUAAAUUGCCUUGAACUGAAGUCAUUAAGAACCAUACCCUACACACAAAAGUGCGCGAACUUUUAAGACUUGAUCUCAAAUCAGAUAAGACUACCCGCUGA
rnacentral:misc_RNA from 1 species